AGAGGAAGAGGAACGCCGUGGUGCAGCACGGGAAAUAGGCUUGUCGCGGCAGGAAGGGGCUACUGGAAAAGCUUCCCCCAGCGCCGUGAAGAUAGGUUCCUAAGCCCGGAGGACACAAGCCAGAUGGGAAGGUGGUGCUACGGGCCUGGCCUCGCUCCUUCAGGACACAGAGGCUGCGACCCAGGAGCCCCUGGCAGAGUUGAGAAAACCAGCAUUGGGGCAGGGGCCUUGAAGAUCAUCUGGUUCCCGUCUCCAAGCCUAUAGGUGGGGAAGCUGAGGUCUGGAGAGGAGCAGGGACUUGCCCAAAGCACACAGAGAGCCACUCCUGGAAGCUCUUCUGGGCUUGGAUGCUGCCUGAGACGCACACUGAUGACAGCUUGGGAGAAGGAGGGCCACGGCCUAGUUGAGGAGCGCGCGUCUGAGAGAGUGUGCUGUGGCAUCCACAGCAGCAGCACUGUUCCUGAGGAGAAACUAAGAGCAACACAAACAUCCAGUAAGAGGAGAAUUGAGAAAUCAACCACAGCUCCCACAGCAGCAGGGGCAACCUGCUGUCUGAGUGGAGCAAGAGGAUGCCAGACACUGACCCAGGAUCGGGGCUGCCUGAUCCCUGCACUGGCCAGAGGAGGGUUUGCGGAAGAGAAGGCCUAGGAGGACCGACAACUUCUCUCCAACCUGCACAUCGGAGCUGGCCGGGCUCCCAGGGAAGUCUCAGAGCAUGAAUGGACUCCUUGCCCCACCCCGCAGCAAGCAGAGAAACAGCCAACACCGGGGACCUCCUCCUGGGCGGCCUCCAUGCUUAACCCUGCAGUUUCCACCUACAGAACAAGCACCAACUCCAGCCUGGAGACCCCAAGCCAAGGGCCAACCUUGCCCUCUGUUUGCCCUGCACUGCCCAUCUAAAUCUCUGAGGUGGAGGAGGUGGUCUCUGCGGUGGAGGAGGCGCUUCAGCGGCACGUGAUGCGCCGAGAGGUGUGCCCAGACUGGCGUGGAGCAAGGUAGGUGCUGGAUGAGUGGAUUCUGCUCCUCCGCUUUGGAGUUCCGGGAACAUCCAGAGGCUACAGCAGAGGCUGCAGGGCAAAGCCAGUGCCAAGGCUGCAGGGCUGGAAGAGGCCAGAGCAGGUACCCCCGCACCGGCUGCAGCACCAACAGGAGGGGCAGGUGUGUGAGUGCCUCAGGGACCCCCACCUGGCCUACGCCCUGCUCCUGGGCCUCUGAGGGCUCCCUCCCCACUGCCUGCAGGAUCCCAGCUCAGCUUCCCGGCUCAGCGCCUUUUCCUCCUGGUACAAAAGAGAGAAAGAGAACCAUGUACAGCAUGGAAGCUUUUUGUCAAUUUCUUGACUGUGGCAAGAUUUUAAUCUGCUGCCUUAAAGAAUCCCUGAAAACCACCCCUGUGAGGAUCAAGAAAGGGAUGAAAUACUGGUUUAUACAAUCCACUGUUGCAUGUAGCCUGAAAAUAACACUUUUCAUUAAAAAAGAAAAAUCAAGAAGAGCUUGAACACUCUCUGCUCCAGGGAGCUCGGAUUUACCUGCCAAAAAUAAAAAGUAAACUCAG